UCCAAGCAACCGAGAGAUCAGCAAUGGCGGUUUAAGUUUCCUUUUCUUUCUUAGCUCAGUAAAGGAAGGCGAGCGAGAGAGUCGAUGCCGAGGACCGGAUUUUACGGAUCGAUGUCCUCCCCCAAGAUCGACGUCGCCAUUGACAUGGGGAACCCUUUCCUCAACCGCACCGUCGACGGAUUCCUCAAGAUCGGAGCCGUGGGGGCUUCCAAGGUCGCAGUGGAGGAGAUUUACCACAUUCUCGACAAAGGAACAAUUUCAAAAGACUCAGCUCAGAAGUCUUUGAAGAAAAUGUGCAUAGAAGGUGCCUAUUGGGGAACUGUUGCUGGUGUAUAUGUGGGAAUGGAAUAUGGAAUGGAAAGGGUCCGUGGAACUCGUGACUGGAAGAAUGCUAUGCUUGGGGGCGCGUUAACAGGGGUGAUAAUAUCUACCGCCACCAGUAAGGGUAAAAACAGAGACAAGGUGGUCAUGGAUGCCAUCACCGGAGGUGCCUUAGCGACUGCUGCGGAGUUUCUUAAUUACCUCAUUUGAAAGGUGAAUACGGCAGGAGGCGAUCGAGUUGAGUGCACCCUUGGAACUAUGCCCAUCUGAUGUAGAUCGAGGCAAAAAUAAUGAAGAGGAGACCUGUGGUCUCAUAGCUUCACUUUCUAUGUAUUAGGUAAGAACAUUGAUUAAGCAUAUUUAGUCUCAGUGGAUCAGUUCUUAAUAAAUGAGCCUCAUAUCGUCGUAUGUAUAUUUACAUAUGAUUGGGAUGUAGCUUGAUAUUGUAAUCAACUGCUUAAGCUUUCAGGUGAAGUAGUUUGUUGUUU
rnacentral:misc_RNA from 1 species